rnacentral:tRNA from 1 species
GACGAGGUGGCCGAGUGGCGAUGGACUGCUAAUCCAUUGGGGUCUCCCCGCGUGAGUUCGAAUCUCAUCCUCGUCG